UGGGGAAUAUUGCACAAUGGGCGCAAGCCUGAUGCAGCCAUGCCGCGUGUAUGAAGAAGGCCUUCGGGUUGUAAAGUACUUUCAGUCGGGAGGAAGGUGGUAAGGUUAAUAACCUUGGCAAUUGACGUUACCGACAGAAGAAGCACCGGCUAACUCCGUGCCAGCAGCCGCGGUAAUACGGAGGGUGCAAGCGUUAAUCGGAAUUACUGGGCGUAAAGCGCACGCAGGCGGUUGAUUGAGUCAGAUGUGAAAUCCCCGGGCUUAACCCGGGAAUUGCAUCUGAUACUGGUCAGCUAGAGUCUUGUAGAGGGGGGUAGAAUUCCAUGUGUAGCGGUGAAAUGCGUAGAGAUGUGGAGGAAUACCGGUGGCGAAGGCAGCCCCCUGGACAAAGACUGACGCUCAGGUGCGAAAGCGUGGGGAGCAAACAGG
rnacentral:rRNA from 1 species